GGAUAAUUGUUAAUUUUCCCAAGAAUAUAAUUAUAAUUCUUUUAUUGUUUAAAUAGAGUUAAUAGUUUAUCUACAGUUUCACUUUCUGCAGUUUCAGUUAUCCAUGGCUUGAAAAUAUUAAGAUAUUUUGAAAGAAAGAGGAAGAAAAAGAGGCGUCAGUCACAUAACUUUUAUUACAGCACAUCGUUACGUUUCUAUUUCAUUAUUAGUUAUUGUUCAUAUCUUACUCUGCCUAACUUAUAAACUUUAACAUGCAUAUGUAUGGGAAAAAAAACAUAGUAUAUAUAAGGUUUGGUACUAUCUGCAGUUUCAGGCAUCCACUAAGGAUAUCAGAACAUAUUCUCUGCAUAUUUAGGAGCAAUUACCGUAUGAUAUUUUUUUCUUUCUGUGUAAACACAUGGUGUCAUAGUCCAUUUUGUGCUACUGUAACAGAAUAUCACAGACUAAUAACAAAUAACAGAAAUUUAUUGGCUUAUAGUUCUGUAGGCUGAGAAGUCCAAAAUCAAGAUGCUGGCAUCUGGGAAGGGCUUUUUUGUUGCAUCAUCACACAGAGGAAGGUGGAAGGGUGACAGAGAGAGCAAGAAGGGGCUGAACUUACCCUUUUAUAACAUCACCAAUCCCACCCUAAUCACCUCUUAAAGAGAGUUCCCGUAUGUCCCCUCAAGCCCUCUUCCCUCCAGUUUCCACUAUUAGUAACAUCUUGCAUUAGUGUGGUACAUUUGUUAAAAUUGGUGAGCCAAUAUUGAUACAUUAUUAAGUCCAUAGUUUACAUUAGGGUUCACUCUUUGUGCAGUUUUAUUGGUUGUUAUAUUUUAUUGGUUUUGACAAAGGUAUGACAUGUAUCCACCAUUACAGUAUCAUUCAGAAUAGUUUCACUGCCUUAAAAAUCCUCUGUGCUCCACCUAUUCAUCCAACCCUUCCCAUGGACCACUGGUAACCACUACCUUUUCACUGUCUCCAUGGUUUUGCCUUUUCCAGAUUACCAUAUAGUUGGACUCAUACAAUAUGUAAUCCUUUCAGAUUGGCUUUUCCUUAGCAAUAUGCAUUUAAGGUUCCUCCAUUAUCCAGAGAUGGUUUUAGUUGUCACAACUUGGGUAGAGAGAUCAGGGGUCAAUGCUACUGGCAUCUAGUGGGUGGUAGAGACUGAGGUAGCUCAUGAGCAUCCUACAAUGCCCAGGACAGCCCCCUACAAAAAAGAAUUAUUCAGCCCCAAAUGCCAACCAUGCUCGAGGUUGAGUAACCUUGUGUUAAGAGUGACAUGUGGCAUGAGAAAUGGGGCGGUUUUGGCUCAUGUUGUGAUAUUCUAGAUUCAGAUAUUUCCCUGAGCAGAGAGGCUGAAAUGCUGAAAAUUUUUCAUUUGAUGACCUUGAUGCUUCCUUUCCUGACCAUCGUAAAGAACAAAUGGCUCCUUUGCUUUGGCAAGAAAUACUGAAGGUGGUGGCUUUUUUCUGUUUGUUUUGAAAUGAAGUCUUGCUAUGUUGCUCAAGCCAGUCUUGAAUUCCUGAACUUCUGGUCUCAAGUGAUCCUCCUGACUCAGCCUCCAGAGUAGCUGGGACUACAGGCACAUGUUACUGCACCAGCCUUCAACGUGAUUUUUUUUAUUUCAUUCAGGUGACAAACUCAUGCUGAGGUUCCCAAUUUUUGUCUCAGAGCUAGGAUAUUC
rnacentral:lncRNA from 1 species